rnacentral:rRNA from 1 species
AUUGAACGCUGGCGGCAGGUCUAACACAUGCAAGUCGAGCGAGCGGCGGACGGGUGAGUAAUGUAUGGGGACUGCCCGAUAGAGGGGGAUAACUACUGGAAACGGUGGCUAAUACCGCAUACUGUCGGAUAACCCAUAUGGGAUUAGCUAGUAGGUAAGGUAAUGGCUUACAUAGGCGACGAUCCCUAGCUGGUCUGAGAGGAUGAUCAGCCAAAGUGAGACUGAGAGACGGCCCAGACUCCUACGGGGGCAACGAUGGGUAAUAUUUCACAAAGGGCGCAGGCCGAAUGCAGCCAAGCCGCGUGUAUGAAGAAGGCCCUAGAGUUGUAAAGUACUUUCAGUCUGGAGGGGUGACCGGCAGAAGAGGCACCGGCUAACUCCGUGCCAGCAGCCCCUGUAAUUA